rnacentral:tRNA from 1 species
GCAGGGAUAACUCAGUUGGGAGAGCGUCAGACUGAAGAUCUGAAGGUCGUGUGUUCGAUCCACACUCACUGUA